rnacentral:rRNA from 1 species
UACGCUGUUAUCCCCAAGGUAAUUUAAUUUAUAUUUAAAAUAAUAGAUUUAAAAUUCACAAAUCAAUGAUUUUAAUUAAAAGAGUUUAAUAAAUCUUUUAGUCACCCCAACUAAUUUUUAAUUUAAUAGAUAAUUCUAAUAACCUUAAAAAAUAAAACUCUAUGGGGUCUUCUCGUCUUUUACAACUAUCUAAGCCUUUUAACUUAAAAAUUAAAUUCAUAAAAAAUUAGAAAGAGACAGAAAUUUUCUUGUCAAAUCAUUCAUACAAGUUUCUAAUUAAGAAACUAAUUAUCACGCUACCUUUGCACAGUCAAGAUACUGCGGCUAUUUAAAUAUUCAUUGAGCAGAUUAGACCUUAANNNNNNNNNNNNAGAACAUGUUUUUAAUAAACAGGCAGAAAAUUUGAUUUUGCCGAAUUCCUUUUUCUAACCUUAAAGUUACCAAUAAGAAUUAUUAUUAUAUUACUAAUUUAAUCAUUAUUACAGUAAAAUUUUAUUAAACAACUAAUUUUAAUAUAAAAACUAAAUAAAAAAAAAUCUUUUAUCAAAAAUACCUAACUAUUAAAUUAUUAAUGAUUAACAAUUCAAAUUAUACUUAACAUUAAAAUAAAUUUUUAUUAUAAUAAUAUACUUAAAAGCUCAUCCCAUUAAACAUUUAAUAUUAAAACUUAUAUUUAAAAAUACAAAAUAUAAAAAAUAAUAAUAGAAUUAAAUUCUUUUCUUAAAAAACUAGAUAUCAUUAAAAUCGAAUAGCAUUUCACUUCAAAUUAAUUAUUUUAAAAAAUUAUUUAACAUUUAAAUCCAUAAUUAAUUAGAUCUUUUAAAUUCGAGAAAAUUAAAUAAUUAAACUCUAAUUGAUCAACCCUGAUGCACAAGGUACAAAAAAUAAAUUUUUCUUUUUAAAUAAUAAAUAAAUUCAAACACUUUACUAAUAAACUAUAAUUAAAAAUAAUUUUUCAAUUAAAAUAAUAAAAAAAAGUUCCUUCUAAAAUUUUAAAUUAAUAAUAAUAUUCAAUCAAAUUGUAAUGAAUUGCACAAUUAAUCAUUUUAAUGUAAAUAAAAAGCUUCCUUAAAGCUUCAAUUUGAAUUCCAGAUACACUUUCCAGUAAAUCUACUUUGUUACGACUUAUCUCAAAUUAAUUGAGAGCGACGGGCAAUAUGUACAUAUUUCAGAACAAUGAUCAUUAUAAUAAAAUUAUUAUAAUUACUAUCAAAUCCAAUUWAUACUUAAAAUUUAAAAUAAAUAACCAAAAAUAAAUUUAAUGUAACCCAUCAGUCUUCUUAUUCAUAAGCUGCACCUUGAUCUGAAAUCCAUUAUUAUUAAAAUUAAUGAAAAUUUUCUCUGAAAAGAAAUUCAUAAACAACGAUAUACAAACUUAAAGAAAAAGUAAAGCUUAUCGUGGACUAUCAAUUAUAGGACAGGUUCCUCUGAACUGACUAAAAUACCGCCAAAUUUUUUAAUUUUCAAGAACAUA